GACAGAGGAGCCAAGCGUUGUCCGGAUUGACUGGGCGUAAAGCGCACGCAGGCGGGUGCGCGCGUGGGGUGUGAAACCUGGCCGCUUAACGGCCAGCGGCCAUCCCAUACGGCGCGCCUGGAGCCUUGGCGAGAGGGCGGUGGAAUUGCCGGUGUAGUGGUGAAAUGCGUAGAGAUCGGACAGGAACACCCAGGGAGAAAUCAGCCGACCUGGGCCAAGUGGCUGACGC
rnacentral:rRNA from 1 species